CCUUUAGUGAUAACGAAAGAGAAGGAGAGGAAGAGGGAGAAGCAAUGCUAACUGCUAAGUGCUAGGCUAGCGGACAGAGAUAACAGAUUAACUUAGAAUUAAGUACUGAGAAGGUGCUUGAAGAAAACGAGUGUAUGUUACGAUUCAAAUAUUACCGCUACACAGAGAUUUAAUGAAUAUCAAAUUAGAUGGAGUGGAUAAGCUACAACAGUCACAGAACACAACACAGCGCUACAACAGGAAGUGUCGCAAUACGCUCACCGUAACGUCAGACGUCAGCAGGAACAAACUAUAGCCGCGAUUCCACAAGCACCUACCCGGUGCGGUGCUGCUCGGCUCGUCUUUGUUUGCGAGCGUUUCCAUAUGGAUUAGUGCAUGGUUUCAGGCACGAUUUUCCGUACCUCCUCGGCUGAGGUUCCAAGCGAGAUGAAGUGAGCCGAGAUGUGACGUCUACAUAGUGCAGGCCACUGAUUGGACAGGGAGUGACGACACACGAGAGCGACUCCAGCACAAAAACAAAACCGGCAUUUAAAAAAAACUAAACAGCGACGGUGUGCAUUGCUCUUCACGGAACUCUCUGUUCUUCAUAAUUUUAAUAUGACAGCCAGACCUGUACCGUGGGUGAAUGAAGAGGUCGAGACUUUUCCGUCUAUGGUGGUGGACCAAAGAAUACAGAGGGAGUUGGACGGAGAAAGUUUAUCAGGAGGUCUCUGAGCGGAUGGCCGCCCAUGGAUACAGUAGACUGUAUAUAAAGAGGACAGAAGCAGUUUAGGGAGAAGCUGAAAAAGCUCAAAAAUGACUAUUGGUCCACCAAGGACCACAGCGGCUGGCGUGGGUAAUCCAGGAGGUGUUGGAAGAGGUUUAAUGGAAGCUAUUUACUGGCACCGCCAGCACCAGGAGGGAGACUCAGCCGCUGCAUUGUUGGAGACGUUCGAGGACGGUGAGUGUUUUGUGACUUCAAGAAACUUUUACAUCAUUUAUCCCAUUGGUGGCAAGCUCCCUUUAAGCAAACAAGUAUAUUUAGAAAGUAACGUUGUUGUCUCCUGUAGCAGACAAUAAGCUAGCUAGUUAGCCAUCAGCGCUAGCUAGUUAGCCAUCAGCGCUAGCUCUGUGCUCCGCUUGUAUUUCGUGCUGCUGUUUCUAACGUUUAGCUCUCAGAAGCUAAUACAUCAGUCAGCAUGACGAACUAAGUUAGUGGUCUUAAAGGUUUCUUUUUUUCACAAGUUACAAUGUCGUAUUUUUCGUGUACUUAGGGUGAAUGUUUAUUUCUGUUCAAGAAUCCCUUUCGACGUGCGAAGCCUGCUCCACCUCCGUCAUGGAGCCCCCAGCUCCCCUGCCUCCUCUCCACCACCAGCUUCAGGACCAGUACCAGCUCGGACACCGACCCUGUCAACAUCAGCCUUCAGCACGUAACAGCAACAUCUUAUCACUGGCAAGAGGAAAAGGGGCCACAGAAAAUUGGACCUUCCAAGUGUACUUGUGGAGAUGCAGGCUGAGAAGGAGCGGAACCGGCAUCCAGCAUGAUGAGAACAUCCAGUUGCUCCUCAGCAAGGCAAGAGAGAAUGAAGCGGCCUAGCAGCGGAGGAGAUGGCCCAGAAUACUGCGUUCAACCAGUCAUUCCUGGGUGUACUGGGGCAGCUGGUGCAGGCAGUACUGGGUGUACUGGGGCGGCUGGUGCAGGCAGUGGGCAGCCAGCGAGUCCACCUCCCAGAGACUUGAGAUUUAGUUGUAUAUAGUUUUACUUUUAGCCCUCCACUGUAGGAGAGGCCCACCACAGUUUGUACUUUGCACAUUGUAAAUAGUUUUGAUUUUGCUGCUGACUAAUAAACUAUUUUGUGACUUA